rnacentral:rRNA from 1 species
AUGCAAGCCAUCAAGAGAGUUUUUCCUGUCCAACACAUAGAUGAUUCCUUUGUUCACUUGGGGCACCCUCUUAUUCUCCCGGCGAAAAACAGAACCUCGGCUUAUAACUUUGUCCUAGACAAAUUUAAGUCCAAGCUUAGCACUUAUAAAGCUGAUAAACUUUCACAUGCAGCCCGGCUUCAGCUCAUUCAAUCUGUUUUUUCUUCAAUCCCUGUCUAUUACAUGUCUAACAUUUUGUUCUCUAAGAAGUUUAUUGCAAAAUUGACAGCCAUCAUCAGGAACUUCUGGUGGACCGGAAUCAGGGAGGAAUCCACUCGUAGCCUCUGCCUCAAAGCUUGGAAAGACAUAUGUGCUCCAAAAAAAGAAGGCGGUUUGGGUAUUAGGAAUUUGCAAGCGGUCAAUCAAAGCUUGAUCCUCAUGUCGGCCUGGCGCAUUGCUCAAAACCCUGAUGAUCAACUCCACAAGAUCCUACGGGCCAAGUAUUUUCCAGAUUCAUCUAUCUAG